AGUGAACGCUGGCGGUAGGCCUAACACAUGCAAGUCGAACGGCAGCACAGUAAGAGCUUGCUCUUACGGGUGGCGAGUGGCGGACGGGUGAGGAAUACAUCGGAAUCUACUUUUUCGUGGGGGAUAACGUAGGGAAACUUACGCUAAUACCGCAUACGACCUACGGGUGAAAGCAGGGGAUCUUCGGACCUUGCGCGAUUGAAUGAGCCGAUGUCGGAUUAGCUAGUUGGCGGGGUAAAGGCCCACCAAGGCGACGAUCCGUAGCUGGUCUGAGAGGAUGAUCAGCCACCCUGGAUCUGAGACACGGUCCAGACUCCUACGGGAGGCAGCAGUGGGGAAUAUUGGACAAUGGGCGCAAGCCUGAUCCAGCCAUACCGCGUGGGUGAAGAAGGCCUUCGGGUUGUAAAGCCCUUUUGUUGGGAAAGAAAAGCAGCAGGUUAAUACCCCGCUGUUCUGACGGUACCCAAAGAAUAAGCACCGGCUAACUUCGUG
rnacentral:rRNA from 1 species